GUGCGUCUCUGACAGCCCUGGAGCAGUUCAUGUCUGCUGCUAAGGUUUCCACUAUAGAUGCAAGAAAAAGAAGUCCUCAUGCUUUCUGUCUGUCUGGUUGUGGCAGCCAAGAUUGAAUGGGGGAGUACAAGG
ensembl:snoRNA